rnacentral:rRNA from 1 species
UACGUAGGGAGCAAGCGUUGUCCGGAAUCAUUGGGCGUAAAGCGCGCGUAGGUGGCUUCGUAAGUCCGUUGUGAAAGUCAAAGGCUCAACCUUUGAAAGCCGAUGGAUACUGUGAAGCUAGAGUACGGAAGAGGCGAGUGGAAUUCCUGGUGUAGCGGUGAAAUGCGUAGAUAUUGGGAGGAACACCAGUGGCGAAGGCGGCUACCUGGACCGGUUCUGACGCUGAUGCGCGAAAGCGUGGGUAGCAAACAGG